GACGAACGCUGGCGGCGUGCUUAACACAUGCAAGUCGAACGCUGAAGCACCAGCUUGCUGGUGUGGAUGAGUGGCGAACGGGUGAGUAAUACGUGAGUAACCUGCCCUUGACUCUGGGAUAAGCCCGGGAAACUGGGUCUAAUACUGGAUGCUACAUGUCACCGCAUGGUGGUGUGUGGAAAGGGUUUACUGGUCUUGGAUGGGCUCACGGCCUAUCAGCUUGUUGGUGAGGUAAUGGCUCACCAAGGCGACGACGGGUAGCCGGCCUGAGAGGGUGACCGGCCACACUGGUACUGAGACACGGCCCAGACUCCUACGGGAGGCAGCAGUGGGGAAUAUUGCACAAUGGGCGAAAGCCUGAUGCAGCGACGCCGCGUGAGGGAUGACGGCCUUCGGGUUGUAAACCUCUUUCAGCAGGGAAGAAGCCACAAGUGACGGUACCUGCAGAAGAAGCGCCGGCUAACUACGG
rnacentral:rRNA from 1 species